rnacentral:rRNA from 1 species
GAUGAACGCUGGCGGCGUGCCUAAUACAUGCAAGUCGAGCGAACAGACGAGGAGCUUGCUCCUUCGACGUUAGCGGCGGACGGGUGAGUAACACGUAGGUAACCUACCUAUAAGACUGGGAUAACUUCGGGAAACCGGAGCUAAUACCGGAUAAUAUUUCGAACCGCAUGGCUCGAUAGUGAAAGAUGGCUUUGCUAUCACUUAUAGAUGGACCUGCGCCGUAUUAGCUAGUUGGUAAGGUAACGGCCUACCAAGGCAACGAUACGUAGCCGACCUGAGAGGGUGAUCGGCCACACUGGAACUGAGACACGGUCCAGACUCCUACGGGAGGCAGCAGUAGGGAAUCUUCCGCAAUGGGCGAAAGCCUGACGGAGCAACGCCGCGUGAGUGAUGAAGGUCUUCGGAUCGUAAAACUCUGUUAUUAGGGAAGAACAAACGUGUAAGUAACUGUGCACGUCUUGACGGUACCUAAUCAGAAAGCCACGGCUAACUACGUG